rnacentral:rRNA from 1 species
GAUGAACGCUGGCGGCGCGCCUAACACAUGCAAGUCGAACGAUUAAAGCACCUUCGGGUGUGUAUAAAGUGGCGAACGGCUGAGUAACACGUGGGCAACCUGCCCCUUUCAUUGGGAUAGCCACGGGAAACCGUGGAUAAUACCGAAUACUUCGAGACUUCCGCAUGGAAGACUCGAGAAAGCUCCGGCGGUGAGGGAUGGGCCCGCGGCCUGUUAGCUUGUUGGUGGGGUAACGGCCUACCAAGGCAAUGAUGGGUAGCUGGGUUGAGAGACCGACCAGCCAGAUUGGGACUGAGACACGGCCCAGACUCCUACGGGAGGCAGCAGGGGGGAAUCUUGCACAAUGGGCGAAAGCCUGAUGCAGCGACGCCGCGUGCGGGAUGAAGGCCUUCGGGUUGUAAACCGCUUUCAGCAGGGACGAGGCGAAAGUGACGGUACCUGCAGAAGAAGCCCCGGCUAACUACGUG